CCAGAAGAAUGUGGAAAGUCACAUUUGGUGUUUCACCCAAGUGUAUCGGCUGUUGGGGAAUGAAGGAGGAAAUAUAUCAUGGAGUGGUAUUGACCAGUGUGGGUUUACUGAGAAUUUGGCCAGGCUCAAAGGACAUUUGACAUACAUGGCUUGUUACCCUCUUCUAGGACCAGGAUAAAAGAACCACAAAUAUCUCAUCAUUUCAUUGAACCUUGGUCUCCUCAUCUGGAAAAUGGAGUGACAAAGACCCACCUUGCAGUGUUUGAGGAUGUAACAAGCUGUACUGGGAGCUCUGCUGGCUGUUCAUCAAAUAACACCUUGGCCUGGAUCUGGAGGCGUUUUUUGGUAGCUCUGGCUCUGAUGUUGAUCGCUGUGUGACCUUGGGAGAGUGCCUUCCCCUCUCUGGACCCUAGCCACCUCCUUCGGAAAAUGAAGGAGCUGGACCAGAUGAUCUCGAAGUCACCUUCCAGACCUCAAGCACUUCAUAUUCGCGUCUCUCAUUUUAUAAAACCCAACAUCUGACACAGUUAAUAAGUAAAACCUACCUUCCCCAAACAUCUUUUUCCUUAUGCAACAGGCCAAUAAAGGUACAAAGGCUU